rnacentral:lncRNA from 1 species
CUUCCUUUUUCUCUGUGCAUCCUCAGUGACGCGGGGCACAGCUCUGCCCGGGGGCCUCCCAGAGCCCACCUGGACCCCACACUGGGUCAGCCCUGGUGCGGAGGAGGCCGCUCUGGGCGCGACCAGGUCACAGUCGGCACCAGAAGUUUGGCAGAUCUCAGUGAGGCGUUCGUUUGCAUUUCCUUGUGACGGAGUCUCACUCUGUUGUCAGGCUGGAGUGCAAUGGUGCCAUCUUGACUCACUGCAACCUCCGCCUCCCGGGUUCAAGCUAUUCUCCUGCCUCAGCUUCCUGAGUAGCUGGUACUACAGGCGUGUGCCACCACGCCCAGGUUUUGACUGGAAUGCCAGGCUUAACGUUGCUCAGAAGUUGCUUCUAUGAGGAUGUCUCCCAGCAGCUGUCGGUGUUUCCAAUGAGUCAUUGCCAGCCCCUGCAAUGAGCCUCUCAGGCUGGUAAGUUUUGUUUCAGAACCACUUCCUCGAGCUUCUUUUGCCUUUAAAAGCUUCUUCUUGCCCCAGCCUCCCAGGUAAUGCCUGUGAUCCGUCAUGGCUCACACAUCCUGGCUGAUAAUCCCCUGCUGUUCUCCACAGAGUGCCUUCAUUUUGAGAGCUGCUCGCUGCCUGUUGUUGUUUCAGUUGACGGCCCACUGCUGUGUGCAGAGUUCACCAGCCACUGUGAUGUGCAGUGCAGCAGCUGACCUGCCUGCCCUGUGGUUUUCUAAUCCCAUCGAGGGGACGUCUUAGAUGUUCUCACCAAGACUGCACAACAACAGUGCUGGGUGGACCACAUCCUCCCUCAUGUUUGGUGCCACCAGUUUUAUAGACUUUGGCUAGUGUGGGUGUGU